rnacentral:lncRNA from 1 species
UUUUCUCCCCAACUUGAAAAUACAGUCAAACAUUGUAAUGUGAAUGCUCCCAAACUUUCUAAGGCAAGGGUAAAACUUCAAACCAUAAUUUAUGAUUAAGGAUUCAAGAAAAAAACUUAGAAUCUAAUGUAAAAUCAAUGAUGAACUACUCUUUGCAUCUAAAGGAAAAAUCUCACAGUUUAAAAUUAAUAUAGAUCCUGAUACUAAGGCUCAAAGGGGUUAAUGAAU